AUUUAAAUAGCUUAAUAUAGAGCAUAGUAUUGAAGAUACUAGGGUAGUUCGAAACUUUUAAAUA
rnacentral:tRNA from 1 species